rnacentral:rRNA from 1 species
GAUGAACGCUAGCUACAGGCUUAACACAUGCAAGUCGAGGGGCAGCGGGAUUGUAGCAAUACAAUUGCCGGCGACCGGCGCACGGGUGAGUAACACGUAUCCAACCUUCCGGUUACUCGGGGAUAGCCUUUCGAAAGAAAGAUUAAUACCCGAUAGCAUAAGAUUUCCGCAUGGUUUUCUUAUUAAAGAUUCAUCGGUAACCGAUGGGGAUGCGUUCCAUUAGGUAGUAGGCGGGGUAACGGCCCACCUAGCCGACGAUGGAUAGGGGGUUCUGAGAGGGAACGGUCCCCCCACAUUGGAACUGAGACACGGUCCAAACUCCUACGGGA